rnacentral:rRNA from 1 species
AGGGUUUGAUCAUGGCUCAGGACGAACGCUGGCGGCGUGCCUAACACAUGCAAGUCGAACGGGACGCAUUGGAACAAGACUUCGGUCAAGGGAAUAUGCGUUUAGUGGCGAACGGGUGAGUAACGCGUGAGCAACCUGCCCUUCAGAGGGGGACAACAGUUGGAAACGACUGCUAAUACCGCAUGACAUACGAAGGAGGCAUCUUCUUUGUAUCAAAGAUUUAUCGCUGAAGGAUGGGCUCGCGUCUGAUUAGAUAGUUGGUGGGGUAACGGCCUACCAAGUCGACGAUCAGUAGCCGGACUGAGAGGUUGAACGGCCACAUUGGGACUGAGAUACGGCCCAG